UACGGAGGGUGCAAGCGUUAUCCGGAUUCACUGGGUUUAAAGGGUGCGUAGGUGGGCAAGUAAGUCAGUGGUGAAAUCUCCGGGCUUAACCCGGAAACUGACCAUUGAUACUAUUUGUCUUGAAUACUGUGGAGGUCAGCGGAAUAUGUCAUGUAGCGGUGAAAUGCUUAGAUAUGACAUAGAACACCAAUUGCGAAGGCAGCUCGCUACACGGAAUAUUGACUCUGAGGCACGAAAGCGUGGGGAUCAAACAGGAU
rnacentral:rRNA from 1 species